rnacentral:rRNA from 1 species
UACGUAGGGGGCAAGCGUUGUCCGGAAUUAUUGGGCGUAAAGAGCUCGUAGGCGGUCUGUCGCGUCUGCUGUGAAAAUCCAGGGCUCAACCCUGGACCUGCAGUGGGUACGGGCAGACUAGAGUGCGGUAGGGGAGAUCGGAAUUCCUGGUGUAGCGGUGAAAUGCGCAGAUAUCAGGAGGAACACCGGUGGCGAAGGCGGCAUCCUGGACCGAGAUUGACGCUGAGGCGCGAAAGCCAGGGGAGCAAACGGG